AAAAUUAUCUAUUUUCAAUCCCUUCUGCAAUGCUUGCUAAUGUGAUUUAUACAAGAACAGGUGUUUUUCUUCAGUUGACCUUAUUACUGUAGCAGGGAGUAUUAAUUUACAUCAAUUCUGGGCUGAAACAUGGUUUAUACAUCAAAUGUAGAGCCUGAAACUAGCACUGCUGUUCUUAAAGGAUUAGUUAAACAUUUGGCUAAUGCAUUGAAGAAUACAUUGAAAGAGACAGGUCAGGAAGUGGUUAGAUUAGCUCAAAGACUAAGAAUAGCAACACUUAUUCAGAAAAAUCCUUGGUCAUUGACAACAGUUCACAAAUAGGUAAUGGAAAAAGUUGUAGUGCGGGCUAUCUGCAUGUCUUGUGAGGGACUGUCUUGUGACUUUUGAGUGUAUGAGGAAUGCAGCUCUGAGUCAGCACAGAGGAACGCCGGUGAAAGCCAAUAUGAGACAGAGGAUGGAUUAUAUGAGGAGGGAAAGUGCCAUGCAAUCCGUCUCCUUCUCCAGGUUUUAGAAUGGGACGUAGCCUGGAACAACAGUGCCCCCUGGUGGACCUGCUGCAGUGAGUAAACCCAGCUGGGCUGUCAGAAGGUGUCGUUUUUGCAAAAAGGAAACAGGGGAAUAACUGGCUGCGCAGGCUUUCAGAGGAUCCUCCAGACACACUGCCGCCUACCCCCCCUCCUGCUGCUCUACGAUGAACUGCUGAACUCCAGAUGGGGCUGACUCUUUGACUUAUUAAAGAUUUACCAGGUGAGUUUGGCAUCAUUCUCUUGACCUUCAAAGCUGCAAGAUGGGGGGGGCGCUGCACCAAGAUGCCAAGCAUUUGAGGACAAGAAGCCACCAAACGACUUCGUUGGAUGGGCUGUGUGGGGUGGCUGUCAACAGAGAGAAAGCACUAUCAUUUGUAGUAAAUUACAAACCCACGCAGAGUGACACAAGGCAGCCUAAAUCUAGUUGGUGUGACAGCUCCUUCAGCUGAUGCACAAACGCACACCUGCCAAGAAAAGAGCACGCACGCCCACGCCUGUUUCUGGCUUUGUAUCCACGUGCCAAUAAAAGCAACAAAACACACCGAUAGACCAAUUUCACAUGAAAAGCCACCAAAUUUACGCAAAUGGGGUAUUCGUAUUCUGCAACAACGGGACCAUCUUUAGAAAAUCAUUGUAAAAAAGUAUCCACAACUCUUUACAGUGAACAUACCUUAGAGUUUAGGGACUUCAAACCAAGUCAAGAGGAAAAAGAGAAGCUCUGUAGCAGUGAUAAAUAGCAGCAGCUAAAAUCGUGUGAUGUGCAUGAUUACCUCUGACAGGCCUGCUCUCAGGAGACAGCGGGCUGGUAUUUUGGAGGGAUAAAUAUAACAAGUGAGAAUGGAUGGAAAACCUCCACUGAAUAUUUGGCUGACGUGGAGCCAAAUCUGAAAAGUCAGUUGUCUUUGAUUUGUCAGCGCAGUUAUGGACCCGCCACAGGCUGGCUGGGAGUUCUCCUGUGCAAUAGGUUUUAUGUAACCAGAGUACCAGAGCUCAGGGGAGGAUUCACAGUAGGCGUUAGGAAGAGGAUGUAAUGCGUGGACACGCCAGUUAGAGCUGAAUCAGGUGGGUCUGAGUGAAUGAGGUGUUUUCCUUUCAAAUCACAGCUGAGAUGUAACGGCUUGAACAUAAAAGCAAUGGCAGAACUUUUGUCCUGUGUUCAGUAUAACCGCUCAUUUAUGGUGGGAAAUUAAGAAAACACCAGCAAAUGGAAAAAACGCUGCAAAAGCAAACAAAACACAACGGAAACAGAAAGAAAACAACCCGAAACGGAAGCGACAAUAACGUGAGGGAACAGCGGUGGAAUUUACAAGCUAACAGUAUGAUAUGAAUCAUGUAAUUAAAACACGCAUUACCUCCAUCUUUUCCUCCCUUACGACGCCAGUGAACCCCUCUCUUCUUUUAAGCAUAUCUCAGUGCGAUCCUUCACGUUUUGGUUUCUGUCACCUCCGCAGCGGGUCCGUCCUGUUGUUGCAUCCCCAAAAACACUUCUGUUGUGUUUUGUGAGAUGUUGUUCAAUUUUACUCUCCUUUAUUUGUGUUUUUUUUCCAACUUCUGUUGGGUUUUGUGUCCUUUUACAGCAUUUUUCUAUUUGCUGGUGUUUUCUUAAGGUGCAGUCCGUUUGACCUCUCGGGGUCACCGUACUCAUUCAUGUAGUAGUUUAACUUUUGCAAGGAAACAACAAAAGCCUUGGCUUUGUGCAAUGAUGACGCAAACAGGUCCCUUCACAACUUCUAAUUAGGGCGACCUUUGAGCUGACGACACCUAGGGUAAAUCUGACAACAGCCGGGGUUUGUAAAGACAUUUCAUACCGAGACCAUGAUACUGAAUAACACAACACAUCAAGCCUCAGAAAAUCUUGAUACAGAACUAGAUAUUUUUAUAUAUGACUUCACUUAUGGUGAAGAUGGAACACUUUCUAGGAUUCAGAUAUGCCUGGAAAGCCCCUGGAAAAUACCACAGGAGGUGCUCACCAUGUGUAGUGUUUUUAUAAAGUAACCGAAUGAAAUCGCUAAAUUAGAACAUGUGCAGGAGACAAGACACUGAUGUUUCCAGCUGUAGCCCUGUCCCUGUUUGACAUCCAGUUAAAGGGUUACACUAUAACUUAAAAUGACUACCAGAGAGACUCCAUGUUUAAACUCAUUUACUUCAACUCCUGAAUUCAUUACCUGGGACUUCAAAUGUGGAUAUCUAAGGAUUCAGGGUGUGAAGCAGCUGCCUGUUGUGUCCUGCUAGGAGAGCUAAUAAACGUGAACUGAAACAGUCCAAUGGUCAGUAAAACCAAAAAAAGCCAGAAAUAAUGUACAUGUUAAGAAAAAGUGCUGAGUGCUAAUAAUUUGCUCUUACAUUGCAUUAUAAUUUCCCCCUGCUCACCAGCCACUUCACUAAAUAGACUUUCUCAGUUGCUUGUUACUGAUAAUAUCAAAUCAGGCGACUGCAAAAAGGCAGACAUGUUUGAGACAGCAACAGGAAAUCCAAAUGUGAGCAUCAGAAUGGAAAAUAAAGGAUUUUCCCACAUAAGCGUCUCUAAGGUUUACUGAUAAUGGUCCAAAAAAGAGAAAAUCUCUUGAUGAAAACGCUUUGUUGAUGCCAGAGGUUAGAGGAGAAUGGCCACACUGCUUUGAGCUGAUAGGAAGGCACAAGAGCAUCUUUCAGUCCACAAAUAGAGGCUACAGUUCACACAGCCUCACCAAAACUGGGGAACAGAAGACUGGAAAAGUGUUGCCAGGAUCUACGUGUAUGAAUACAUAGUACAGAAUUCAGAGCAACAAAGUUCUUGCAAGUUGUAUAGUCAUUUAAAUCUUUUGCCAGCAUGUAAUAUGACAGCAUGCUGAAAAAUCACGGGUAUGGCCCUUUAAACCCUACAGCGUUCCUUGAGUGGAGUGGACAGUGGCUGGAUGUGGUUCUGGAGAGGUGGAAAGCACAGCGUAAAAGCCAAGUGGAGCCUCAGGCAAGACACAGCAUGCACUCAUGCUCCAGUUAACCUGAGUGCACCAAAGGUUAAGUGAGCUAUAAUUUAACAGGAACUUCUGAAAUAUAUGCAUAGGCAGGGGGAAGAUGACAAAUCUAUAUCUCACCGGUCACAUGUAUUCUGAACUGUCACGUUUCAUUUUGACGUCUGCAGGUGGGCAACAGCGUUGUCUUUGCAGCAGAGCCGAUUUCUAAAGCGCACAGAGCAAAGCAAACUCCGGUUGCUGCUUCUGAAAUGAGGCUACGCACAGAGUAAUCGUUUGGCCCGACCCCCGGGGACUGUGGGGAGACUCUGACUUGUGAGUCCAUUUUACCCCCGGCAACAUGGUUCAGGCCACUGACUAGAAGCACUGCUUCAAUGCCCACAGUGCUCUCAGAGGAAGUGACCUCAAUACAUCCAAUAAGCCUGCUCGCAGAAGCGCGACAGCUGCAGAAGAUUGGAGACACACCAGGUUUCUUAUCUUAGAUGCUGCUAAAAUGAGAAAGUACAUUGUUUUGGUGGUGUAAAUGUCACAGGAAGAACAGCUCAAAGUUUUCUCAUGCAGUCGCUAUCUAAAUGACAUCUGCAGAGUAAAAAAAAGUCGACUGGCUUGAAUAAUUUUGGAUCGUAAUGGAAAAAAUAAGAAUUUAAAGGCAAUGAAUAGAAAACAGCAACAAAAUUCUAAUUGUGUCUAUGUGCUUGUUAAAAUCCACAGUAAAGAAUUAAUGAUUUUAUUUUCCCACUAAUGUAAACCUGCAUGAUUCAAUGUUUCUAUAGCAAAUAAGUGUUAUCUGGGUAAAACGCAGACUACAUAAGAUGGUUGUUUGGGUUUGUGAAUUCACACUGUUCACUACAAAGAUGAAGCCUGAUUGCAGCCACACACUGCGAAGGUGGCCCAACCUCAGCUCUGUGAUCUGAUAGUGAAGUGAUGUUUGUGCACGGAGUGGUUUUUUUUUUUAAACUUUUAGAUGGACACACACACGUACACGUUUUGCGUGUACUGAUUUUAUCAAUAAACAGCUGCGUACCUACAAAACUGCUAUUUGUGCAACUCUUUUUCCAUUUGCUCACUAAGUGUGGUUCACAGUUACACGUCACAGAUCGUGAUGCUUUUAUGCAUUUGAAUGGAUUCUAACAAAAUGUUUUCUCACGCUCACUUACGGCCUUAUUUUGCUUCCAUACAGCACCUGUUUAGUCCUUGUAGUCGGGUCAGUUGUGAGCUUGCUUCUAUAAAUAAAGAGCCAAAUAUUUCACAGGAGAUGCUACAUAUUGGGCUUAAUCAGGCUGAGACAAACGUGCCUCCAGAUCCUGCUGAAGUUAUUCCACAUCGUGAGAAAAGGAACUGUAAUAUUACUCGUGUCAGUUUGUGUGGUCAAAAAUCUUUUAAGUAGCAUUGCUAACACUUCUCAGCAAACACCAACAGCUGCAAGUUACUGUAAGUCUUUCAUGAAGGCUACAAGAGUCUUCUCAAGGUCUAAGGAAGAAGAUCAGUGAGGGAGGUUUAAAAUAUCCCAUGUUCACUGCUGGGAGGAUAAGGAUCUGGAUCUGCGUGGUUUCUUUCUUUCAGGAGCUUUCCCCCCUUUUACUGCUGCUGUCACAAUGAGGUAGUGCUGUAGCUGAUAAGACAGAAAUCAGUCCUUCACCUAUGGCCUCUCCACAGGCGGCAAGCAAAUUUUAAGGCUCUUUGCACUGUGGAGAUUGUUGAGGUAACAUACUGAGCUGCAGGAGCUGAUUUGUGCUGAUUAGCGGGCCCAUGUGACUGUGGGCACUGGGUCCAGGUGAUUGUGUGGGAUCCUGCAUUUGGCACUUGUUACUGCUGUUUUCCACUGAGAUGUUAAUCAUCCAGCAUGCGCCAGAGGCAUGAUUAAAUGUCACGCAGCUCCCUCAGCUUUGGCCCUCUCACUGUGAAUAAACCUCUCUCACCCACAGGCAGACAGGGCCUGGAGUCUGCAGCCGUGAUCUGAACUGCCCGACCUAUGCAGUGCCACAGCUCCCCCUACAGGCCAAAGAACAAAAGACAACAACAGCAUUUUUUUCUAUAUUUUUAUUUAACUUAAAGUAAAAUGUUACUUUGGCACUCUUGGGGCCAAAAGAGGAACCGCUGCAAUCAUCAGGAUCAGCAUCAGGUGAUGCAUAGACAUACAAAUGCACAUAGCAAAGUACACACAAAAAAAAAGAGAAUACAAAUGUAAAUGGCAUAAAGAAGACAAAAGUAAGACAGACAGAGAAAAAAGAAAGAAAAACAAACCAAAAAUACAGUAAAACAAGUUUGGCAGGAUUGUCAGACAAACUCUGAAGAUGUUUCUCCAAGCAUCAAAUCCCAGUCCACGUGAGACCCGCCACCAUCCUCAGGGAAAAACACUUUCUGGAUAAACUGCACUGGAGGAGUUUGCCAACCCCUCCCAGCAAUCGGAGCCUGAACUUUAUCAGGUAACAAAGGCGGUGAUGAGCAGUCAGUCUUGAAAGCUCUGUUUCCACCUGUUCGUGUUUUUACAGAAUCACAGUGUCGAUCAUUUAAAGGUACAAGAAAGAUUGUACAUGUGUCCUCAUUAUGACAGGGAUUUGUGUUGGUGUGUUUACUGUGUAACAAGAAAGUAAUGUAACGAGUAGCAUAACAAAUUGCUUUCUUCAGUGAGUAAUUAAGUAAUGUACUGCAUUACUUGUAAGAAAAUAAUGAGUAAUGACCCCAGCACUUUUAGUGAAUGCCAGUUUGCUGUUGUCUGCUUGGAUUGGAGGGGAAUCCCAGCAGGUCAGUAGGAUCAACAGACUAAUUCAGAAGGCUGAAACCAUCACUGGCCAGAAUCUGGAGGUGUUUGAGUCAGUUUCACUGAACAUACUGCUCUCCAUCAUGGACAACCCACUGCAUUCGCUCCACUCCACACUAUUGAGACAGCAGAGCUCACUCUCCCUCAAUCAGAAUCAGAAUCAGCAUACUUUAUUAAUCCAUAGGGAAAUUAUGUGGGUUACAGUUGCUCCAGUACAUAACAUUAACAAAAACCAGCCCGUUCUCACUCCCGGGGCGUAGUAUACUGACGUUUUGUCACAUCCUGCGGCGUUCACGAGGAACGCGAAAGGUGACCUUCCGCGUUGUUAUGGUCCGCGCCGGGUUAUGGCUGAAUUCCAGUGGAAUGACGGUCCCGCGGUAAUAGACGUUCCAGCAAUGUAUUCCAGCCGUAAACCUAACCUUAUCCCUAACCAUAACCUUAUUCCUAACCGUAAGCAGCAGUUAAAUGACGUAAAAUAGUGUUUUCCAAAGCGAUUUUAAGAAAAUGAACGAACAUGUGUAGAUUGAGUCACAAGGACACAUCUAAAACCUGCAGGACACCGGUCCUCGAGGCCUGGAGUUUGACAACUGUGGCAUAGAGGAUAGCACUGGCCACAACAGAUCAAUAGAAAAUCCUGAGCGUAGUCCAACAGAUGUUGAAGCCGCCUCAGAAAAUCGAGACGACUCUGGCCCUUCCUGUAAAGUGCAGUAUUGUUUUUAACCCAGUCCAGUUAAUUGCCUAUGUGUACUCCAAGGUAUUUAUAGUCCUCCACAAUGUCCACGUUGACCCUUUGGUUUGAAACAGGGGUCAAGGGUUUCCUGGUCUUCCUAAAAUCCACAAUCAAUUCCUUGGUCUUUGCCACGUUGAGCUGCAAAUGAUUCUGUUCGCACCACGUGACAUGAGUCUACCACAGCCCGGUACUCUGACUCGUCACCCCUGCUGAUGCAUCCAACCACCGCGGAGUCAUCAGAAAACUUCUAAAGAUGUCAGGUCUCUGUGCAGUGGCUGAAGUCUGUGGUGUAGAGGGUGAAGAGGAAGGGGGAGAGGACGGUCCCUUGUGGUGCCCCUAUGUUGCCGAUUACCUUGUCAGACACACAAUGUGGAAGACGCACAUAUUGUGGUCUUCCUGUCAGGUAAUCAACAAUCCAGGACACCAGAAAAGCAUCCA